UACGGAGGGUGCAAGCGUUGUUCGGAAUUAUUGGGCGUAAAGCGCGCGCAGGCGGUCUCGUAAGUCCAUAGGUGAAAUGCCGGAGCUCAACUCCGUGCCCGCCUAGGAUACUGUGGGACUGGAGACAUGUAGAGGCUGGCGGAAUUCCGGGUGUAGCGGUGGAAUGCGUAGAGAUCCGGAAGAACACCGGAGGCGAAGGCGGCCAGCUGGGCAUGGUCUGACGCUGAGGCGCGAAGGCGUGGGGAGCGAACAGG
rnacentral:rRNA from 1 species